rnacentral:rRNA from 1 species
ACCCCUACGGGGGGCAGCAGUGAGGAAUAUUGGUCAAUGGGCGGGAGCCUGAACCAGCCAAGCCGCGUGAGGGAGGAAGGUACAGAGUAUCGUAAACCUCUUUUGUCAGGGAACAAAGACUGGGACGCGUCCCCGGAUGAGUGUACCUGAAGAAAAAGCAUCGGCUAACUCCGUGCCAGCAGCCGCGGUAAUACGGAGGAUGCGAGCGUUAUCCGGAUUUAUUGGGUUUAAAGGGUGCGUAGGCGGUUUGUCAAGUCAGCGGUAAAAAUUCCGGGCUCAGCCCGGUCCCGCCGUUGAAACUGGCG